AUAAUUACCUAGACGGGUUCUUUGGGUGAUUAGGAAGGCCCAUGGCCUAGGUUGGUGGCCUCCACUGCACAGAGAAUGUGCACCCGCUUAAGGUCUGUCCAAGUGGGAGAGCCUGCGUCAUAAUUUGUGAUGGAGUAAAGAUAUAUCAUAAUUUAUG